CCCGCCCGACGUCCGCGCACCGAGCCCCGGCCCCGGGAGGCUCCGCGGCGUGGGGGCACGGAGCGACCUCGCCUGCAGCGACCGGCCCUGGGCGGGACACGCUCCCCUUGGCACACCCGCCUUGGCAUAGCCCUGGCCCGCUGCCUUCCGGGGCAAAGAACGGCUUUAUCCCAACGCGACGCGUUCCCAGCGGUGACUCUUCCACUCUCGUUUCGAAUGAAACGCGUUCUCUAAUCGCUGGGCUCAGCAGCCACGUCCAAGGCAGGCGUGCUGUAUGCUUCCCCAGCGGUGUGCUGCCAUCGUCUCCCCUGUCUGGUCCCAUUCCUGCAGCAUCCCGCCACUGGGUCUACCUGCCUCCCAGGUCCUGGGAAGCCCUGGUUUGGCUUUGCCAAUAACGACCAUGCAGUGCCCAUUUUCUGCAGAAAUACAUCACUGCCAAUCGUAAAGAUUAUUAUUGUCCCACUUGUCGUUGGCUGUUUUACAUUUGCUCCACAGUUCUUGCAAGGAUGUAUGGUUUGGAAAUUUGUCCCAAAACAAAAACUGCAUGAUAAAUGGUUGUUGGUUUGGGUUUGUUUUGGUGUUUUUUUUUUUCCCUCUUUUUUAUUUUGUUUUUUUUUCCAAGGGUCAUACCAAGAGUUUCUGUGCACCUUUCAAAGUCGGGAUCUUGAGGUAGGGGAUCAGAGUGGUGCUGAGUACCAGCAGCUCUGUGCAGUGUUCAGCACUCAGCACAACUAGGUUUGAGAGCGGCUCAUGGCAGAGUGCUGGGUUUUGACCCCAAAGGGAAGGUUGUCCUUGAUUUCAGUGUCUGAUGGAGCUCUGGAACUGAGCCUGACAUCUUGAGCUCAGUGAGAGCCAAAUCACAGGAGCAGGAUACGCAGGCUUGACAAAGCCACCCUGCUGCACAGCACGGCCCUGCGGCUGUGGACGUGCGGAGGGUUGUCGAACACCUCUUCCUCUGGAGGAGAAGCUGUCAUAAAUCACAGCAUAGUGCUCCCACAACGAGUUGCUCCCGUGCCGGGGCUCCCGUUGAGGCCACCGCCACCAGCGCGCAUUCACCAGUCCUUCCCCAGCGCCUUAGCUCCGUGCUUCAGAAGGCAUCGCUGCUUGUUUGCAUCCAUGAGGUUAAGAAGCAGGGCUGAAAUCCAUCCUUCAGCAGAGGCCCAGCACGAGGCUCGCUCGCCGCUCGCAUCCGCAGGCCUGCGUACCACUUCCAUCCCAAAGGGCUUAAGUGGAGCCUAAGUGGACCCCGAGCCCUGCACUGGCGUCCGGCCCGGUACUGAAUUGCAGCUCCCAGCCCGGGCCUGCAGCUCUGAUUCAUGCAUGUAAUCCUGCUGAGGUCAGCGGGAUCCAUCCCGCUCCCACUGCAGCCCGCGGGAUGGUUCACACGAGAGUAGCAGGGUCAGGCUCUGUGUUUGCAUGCGCUGUUGAAAAUGGAACAAUUCAGAUUAAACUAAUUAAAUUUUAACAGGUCUGGAAAAGCGUUUUAUUACAUAAUAAACAG
ensembl:lncRNA